GUUUCGUUUUCUAUUUCCGGUGCUGUAACUCGUGGCUCAGCUGUAAACAAAAAUGUAUGUCAUAUGUGUCAAUAGAUUAUUCCAUGUUACCAUUUACACAGGGAAAUUUUGAAGUUAUCAGCGAUUACAUGUCUUAUGAGUCAGCUGUGAGAUAAAUUAAUGCGUCUUUACCCGGCCAUCUUUCACAUCAAGAACAAUGGGGUUAAGCAAUGAAGAGGUCAACAAAAAUAAAAGCUCACCACAACACGAUUUCAAGGACUUGGAGGUGAAUGACAAUGACGUCCACAUAGAAGAAAGAGAAGGUCUCAACAAGUCUAUCCUUGAAGAGGACAGUGAAAAGGAAGGGAUUCUGGCCAGACUGAGGCGUGAUGCCAUAUACCGAGAGAAAUAUUUGAUUUCCCUGGGGUUGGACCAUGGGCCAGUUUGGACCAUCUCUAUUGGACUUAAGAAUCAUCACCAGCACUUCCCUGAAACAAGCCUCGGCAUUCAUGACUGGUCAUUCUGUUGGAAUUCUUGUAGGCUCUGUAGUUUUGGGAAUCAUUUUUGACAAAAUGAAACAGGAGAAGACAUAUUGUGUGGCAUGGACAGUUUUAACAAUGAUGUUCAUUUUAGCUGUCAUUCCUUGGUGCUACAUCUAUGAAUUGAUGGUUGCCAUGCACGUGUUUAAGGGACUAGCCGGAGGUGGCUUGGACACCACUGGCAACGCUCUUCUCAUAAGUAUCUGGAGGGAUGACGGAAAAUCGUUCCUACAGAGUAUUCAAUUCGCUUUCGCUAUUGGAGGAGCCAUUUCUCCUUUUGUCACUAGCCCGUUCCUUGCUCCAGAGAAAGAUAUGAAUAUCACUAGUGCAAUCACAGGAAAUGAAAGCAUAGCAAAUUACACAAACAAUGCAACAACAUCUGAUUCUGGUAAUUUCCCAUGGACCGAGUCCAGAUUGUAUGUCCCAUAUUCAAUAGCAGCUUUUCUUGCCCUAACAGCUACUGUUACAUUAUUUGUGUUAGCCUGCACAUCUGACCGACCCACGGAUGUGCAGACUAAGAGUUCUGAGGAUGAUAGCGUGGGUGAAGAGAGAAAAACUCAGAAGUUAUCAACUGGGAUUAAGGCCUUUGUGUUGAUUAUUUUAAUGGUGUUCCUUGGAAUUGACUGUGCCAUGGAAGAUGGUUUCAAUAACUUUCUGGCCAUCUUUUGUGUCAGUGAGUUAAAGUGGACGAAACAUAUGGCUUCGAAUGUUACUGCUGUAUUUUGGAUAAGUUUUACCAUUGCCAGAUUUCUUGGAAUUUUCUUGGUCCGGAUUUUUAAGCCUAUUAAGUUGAUUUUCUUUCUAAUUGUUCUCAUGAUCAUAGGAUUCGCAGGGUUUUUCACAGCGGCACACUUCAAGUUUUAUGAGGGUAUUUGGAUUUCCUCCGCGAUAGUUGGUUUAGCAAUGUCCAUGAUUUUCCCGUUAGUAUUCGCUUGGACAGAAGAGUCCAUCUUACCAGUAACGGGAUUUGUAGCUUCCUUGUUCCUCAUAGCUUGUUCCAUGGGAACAAUGAUCAAUCCAAUCGUUUUGGGAUUUUUAAUGGAGAAUUCCACUCCAAUGUGGUUUCCCUACCUAUUGUUAGGAGAAUCUGUCAUAACAUUUUUGGUAUUAUGUCUAGUUUGGACAGUUGCUAGUCAUAUCAGUCGAUUGAAAAACACUUUCAGGGAUGAAAAAAUAGAAAUUCGAUCUGAGGACCAAGAUAAUCCUGAGCAUAAGAGUUUCAUUGCUGAAAGUGAACUAAAUGAAGAACGUCUUUAGAGAAAUACAUGUAAGUAAUAGAUUUUUCGUAGGUCAACUCAAAAGAUAACUUGACUAAUCCUCACAAGAGAGAUGAUUUGUUUUGCAAGAACGUCGUUGUGUUAUGAAAGUUUAACUUUAUUCAAAAUUUUAGAACUCUAUAAUACAUGCAUCUUCUCUAGCUUGAAAGCUUAUUUUUACCUUUUGGGGUUAAUAAAGCAGCAUUUUAGAUGUACAUGCAGUAAUAUUUUCUUCCAAAAGGAAAUUGAAGACAUUUGCCAAGAGAAAAGAAAACACCAUUCCAACUUAUAGAUACAAGCUCUUUUGGUUUUGUCUUUUUUUGAAAAGUAAUUAACUUAGAUAUUGAAUUAUUCUGAGCGUUUAAAUAGUACUAGUAUAUUAAAUACGUAGUAUUAUACAGAUACAUUAGACUUUUUAAAAUCUUCGAAAGUAUGCGGUGAACCUGAAUGGAAUCAUUUUUCAGUCUUGUGAUACUUUUUUUCAAUAUUCCGUUUUAAACACGAAUACAAUAUAUUUGUUCAAUAAAGUACCAAAUGUGAUAAUAUGUAUACACUUUGUAUACUAAAUAGUAUGUGAAGUUGUGCGCAUUUUGUUAUAAAAGAGUUGUUAAUUGCAUUUGUAUAAUUUAUUUGCUUUACAAUUGAUUUAUAAUGUGUAUGUUUGUAUUUACCACAGAUUAAAAAUAUUCAUGUUCG
rnacentral:misc_RNA from 1 species